rnacentral:misc_RNA from 1 species
GAUGAAGAACGUAGCGAAAUGCGAUAAGUAAUGCGAAUUGCAGAAUUUCCGUGAGUCAUCGAAUCUUUGAACGCAUAUUGCGCCCUCUGGUAUUCCGGGGGGCAUGCCUGUCCGAGCGUCAUUACUACCUUCAAGCACGGCUUGUGUGUUGAGCAUUUUGUUCGAUUUUCAGUGAACAAGGCUUGAAAUGCAGUGGCGAUGCCUUAAAAUUGGUUGCCUGAACGUAUAGGGCUAUGUCACACGUUCUUGUGGCUCCAGUUGUGCAUCUUGUUCCAACUUCUAAAGAAUCUCGAAUUGACCUCGGAUCAGGUAGGAAUACCCGCUGAACUUAAGCAUAUCAAUAAGCGGAGGA